UCUUGCGACUUGCAGAAUCCCGUGAAUCAUCGAAACUUCGAACGCAUCUUGCGCUCCCGGGAUAUGCCUGGGAGCAUGCUUGUCGGGGAGGAGGAGG
rnacentral:rRNA from 2 species